rnacentral:pre_miRNA from 1 species
CAUGCACCAGUGGGGUCCCUCGGCCUGGCCUGUGCCCUCUCGCAAUUCGGGAAUCCUCAGGGGAUGUUGGAAAGUGGGUUUUGGCCUAAUCCCCACAGGCCAGGCCGAGGGAUCCCACUGGUGCACA